rnacentral:lncRNA from 1 species
CUGGCUUUGAAGGAACAAGCUUCCAUGAAAUAAAUGGCCAUAUUGGAGAAGCCCAAGUGGCAAGGAACUGUCAGCAGUCUCUAAGAGCUGAGGGUAGACUCCAGCAAGAAACUGAAACCCUCAGUCUGACAGCCACAAGGAAAUAAAUUCUGCCAACAACCUGAAGAAGCUUGGAGCAGAUCUUUCCUCAGUUGAGCCUCUGAUGAGACUGCAGCCCGAGCUGUCACCUGGAUAGCAGCUGGUGAAACCCUUCAACAGAGAAACCAGCCAACCUGUGUGUAAACUUCUGACCUGCAGAAACUGUAGAUAAAGAGCUGCCCACACUGGCCUUAGGGUGACUUUCUGGAGAGGCAAGCAUCUUCAUGUGAGACCUGCCAAAGGGUGUAUACCUUCUCAAAAGACCCUGCAGUUUCUUCUCCAAUGUGGACAACGCUGAGCAUAUGAUCUUUCGGUGUCUAUCUGCACUUUCUUUGACCUGUUGGACAACCAGUUGUGGUCCAUUUGGGAGCUCCCAUCUCAUUAAAAAAUGAGAACAUCCUGAGCCAGACAAAGAUGCUCUUUGUACUUUUAGUUUCAUUCUGAACCCAAGCCAGAAAUCUACCUAAGCAACUCACGUUCUACUGAGUCUCUCUUAUAAUGAACAGAAUAUGGCAGAAGUCAUAUUUUACCCAAAACUUGAUAACUUCUGAAGGGAAGUCAUAGAAGACAUUGUAGUUUCCUCUUUUUCCACUUCCUGGUAUCACUCACUCUGGAGGAAACAUCUGCCAUGUUGUGAGGAAGAUCAAGCAGCCAAGGCCAAGUGCAGUGGCUCAUGCCUGUAAUCCUAGCACUUUGGGAGGCCAAGGCAGGUAGAUCACCUCCAGACACCACGAUGCCAAAUGCGGGCUGCUCAUCAAAGACUCCAUUGAGAGCUGGUCGCUGUGUGGGGAAAGCAGCAGUGUUGGCUCCGAACCUGACCUGAGGAGGCAUGGCUACCGUCAGUUCUGUUGUGACAGCCCUUGACAGCAGGUGUCUGUCAUCUCCCCCAUUCUAUCCCCUCCAACCACCCCAACGUUUUUUG